rnacentral:rRNA from 1 species
UACAGAGGGGGCAAGCGUUGUUCGGAAUUACUGGGCGUAAAGGGCGCGUAGGCGGCCUGCUAAGUCGAACGUGAAAUCCCCGGGCUCAACCCGGGAACUGCGUCCGAUACUGGCAGGCUUGAAUCCGGGAGAGGGAUGUGGAAUUCCAGGUGUAGCGGUGAAAUGCGUAGAUAUCAGGAGGAACACCAAUUGCGAAGGCAGCUCGCUGGGACGUUACUGACGCUGAGACGCGAAAGCGUGGGGAGCAAACAGG